CCUACGGGCGGCAGCAGUGAGGAAUAUUGGUCAAUGGACGAGAGUCUGAACCAGCCAAGUAGCGUGAAGGAUGACUGCCCUAUGGGUUGUAAACUUCUUUUAUAUGGGAAUAAAAUGUUCCACGUGUGGGAUUUUGUAUGUACCAUAUGAAUAAGGAUCGGCUAACUCCGUGCCAGCAGCCGCGGUAAUACGGAGGAUCCGAGCGUUAUCCGGAUUUAUUGGGUUUAAAGGGAGCGUAGGUGGAUUGUUAAGUCAGUUGUGAAAGUUUGCGGCUCAACCGUAAAAUUGCAGUUGAAACUGGCAGUCGUGAGUACAGUAGAGGUAGGCGGAAUUCGUGGUGUAGCGGUGAAAUGCUUAGAUAUCACGAAGAACUCCGAUUGCGAAGGCAGCUCACUGGACUGCAACUGACACUGAGGCUCGAAAGUGUGGGUAUCAAACAGGAUUAGAUACCCUAGUAGUC
rnacentral:rRNA from 1 species